rnacentral:misc_RNA from 1 species
GAACGCACAUUGCGCCCCUUGGUAUUCCGAGGGGCAUGCCUGUUCGAGCGUCAUUGCACAAUCUCUCAAGCCUAGCUUGGUGUUGGGUCUUCAUCCGUCUGUCCCUCCCUCUACUGUUCGGGUAAGGGGGAGAGAACCCGGAUGUACCUAAAAAUUAGUGGCGGUGCCCAUGUUGGUCUCAAGCGUAGCAGACUCUCUCUCGCUUUGGAUGACCUGUCAUGGCUAGCUCACCAGCCCCUGCAUGUAUGCAUGCAUCUUUAACCAAUGUUUGACCUCGGAUCAGGUAGGGAUACCCGCUGAACUUAAG